GCGGGCGUGGCGAAACUGGCAGACGCACGAGAUUUAGGUUCUCGUGGGGUAACUCCCGUGCAGGUUCAAGUCCUGUCGCCCGCA
rnacentral:tRNA from 1 species